AAAUUGCAAGCCCGCAUCUGCCCUCCGAAAACAAAUCAACAGCCUCUUAGUCCCGCUGUUGCUCAGCUUGCAGGACAACAACACUGAUGUAGUCAAGGCCUGUGGAAGGGCCCUGACUGAAUGGACCAAAGUGAUGGGCUGGCUGCCAUUGACACACCUGUUCCAAGAUACCAACCUCCAUGAUCACAUCCAUGUGCUGGAAGAAACAUGCAAGUACCUGGUGAGCACACGAAAAACUCAGUUCUUGGGGGAUCUACUGCUCCAGAGCUUUGAGUUUCUAAGGAGCACUCAGCCCUUCCUACGAGCAGCUGCAGUCACCUUCAUAGCAUCAAUCACUGUGAAGAUAACCCUGAAGGCCAUACGUGAGGAUGAUGUGCAGCUCUUACAACAUAGUGAGUCUGGGCCUUUUUCCGGGGUUCUGGGUUACACCAGGAGGUGGGGCAAGACAGGAAGGAGGAAGGGGGAAUUCCUUAAGGAUAUGUGUUAUUAUUUUAAGUCAAGUUUCUUUUUACCAAUAUAAAUAUUAUAUACGAAGGCUCCAGUGGACAGAAGUAAGAGGAAGGGAACAAAUGAUCCAUCAUUGGACUCAUUGGAUAAAAACCCUGCUAACAAAACAUUCCAGUCACUGCACCUUUAUCACGUGCUCCAGGUGCUGACAGCACAGUGGUGUGUGAGGCAGACAAGGUCUCUAUCCCCCACAAAGAACUUGCAGUUUUGUGUUCUUUUUAACUGCAUUGAAACAUUUUAAAAUUAAUUUAAAUGUAGGAGAAAUUCAUGAGUAUAGUCUCAUUGGAGAAAAUGAGACUGAUAAGUGUAUAAAAUUCUGUUAAUUCCCAACUCUUGUUCUUCCCCCUCCCCCUGC